GUGGCCAUAGCGUAGUUGGUUAUCGCGCCAGAUUGUGGUUCUGGAGGUCCCGGGUUCGACUCCCGGUGGCCACCCUA
rnacentral:tRNA from 1 species